rnacentral:rRNA from 1 species
CUCAGGACGAACGCUGGCGGCGUGCCUAAUACAUGCAAGUCGAACGCUUCUUUUUCCACCGGAGCUUGCUCCACCGGAAAAAGAGGAGUGGCGAACGGGUGAGUAACACGUGGGUAACCUGCCCAUCAGAAGGGGAUAACACUUGGAAACAGGUGCUAAUACCGUAUAACAAUCGAAACCGCAUGGUUUUGAUUUGAAAGGCGCUUUCGGGUGUCGCUGAUGGAUGGACCCGCGGUGCAUUAGCUAGUUGGUGAGGUAACGGCUCACCAAGGCCACGAUGCAUAGCCGACCUGAGAGGGUGAUCGGCCACAUUGGGACUGAGACACGGCCCAAACUCCUACGGGAGGCAGCAGUAGGGAAUCUUCGGCAAUGGACGAAAGUCUGACCGAGCAACGCCGCGUGAGUGAAGAAGGUUUUCGGAUCGUAAAACUCUGUUGUUAGAGAAGAACAAGGAUGAGAGUAACUGUUCAUCCCUUGACGGUAUCUAACCAGAAAGCCACGGCUAACUACGUGCCAGCAGCCGCGGUAAUACGUAGGUGGCAAGCGUUGUCCGGAUUUAUUGGGCGUAAAGCGAGCGCAGGCGGUUUCUUAAGUCUGAUGUGAAAGCCCCCGGCUCAACCGGGGAGGGUCAUUGGAAACUGGGAGACU